GUAAUACGUUAUAAAUCUCAAGUUCUAAUGUUCUCUCCUUUGUGUUUUGCAGGUUGGGUCUGUGAAGCCUGGAGAUUCGACUAGUUCUCCCGAGAAUCAAUUUCAAGUAGCUCAAUCCAGUCCUCUUUCUCAAGGAAGCUAAGGCGAUGCUAAAGAUAGAAAAUUUGAGGGUCUUGAAACAUAUUUUAAAGGCCAACGAAGAAAGGAGUGAAGGUCGCUGCCAAGAAAAAGAUGGAGUUCGAUAAGAGAGCAAGUUUUGGCUUCAUUGUUGCCGAAUUCAACAGGGACUUGUUAUUUUUCAGUCUCAGGAGAAGCUAAUUUGAAUGUAACUAUAUCCUUUGACAAGUUUAUGCUCUAACUAGCUAGUGUGCAGUUUUUUUUUUUUUUUACUUAAUUAAACUCCUAACUAGGUACAGAGUGCAAAAAUAUAUUUCUUUUCUUGACCAACCAUAAUAUUUACUUUGCAGGAGCAUCGAGCAGAGUUGGAAAACUAGACCAACCAUAAUUUUUGUUGAAUUAUCAAUCUCAGGCCAUGAAAGGUUCUUUCUAUGACUUCUAAGUAUCUCUAAAAACGUUUGUUGAUGCUUCCGAAGAGUUAAAGCUCUUAGAUGAUAAUGGAGAGCUUGGAAAUAAACUCAUUGUCUGUCAUUUAUAUACUACUUUCUAAGUUUGAGUUUAAUUUUCCUAAAGGUCUUGGUUUUGCUCAUUUAUGUUUGUUUAGUACAUACAAGUGAGAAGGAAGGUGUUUAGGAGAAGGAGCUUGCAUGUGGCUGCAGGAGCUUAAGUGCCUAUGGACGGGAGUUCUAAUAGGAACAAUUGAUGAGGAGGUGAAAUAGAUAGAGGGGAAGAAAUUGAAGAGAUUGAAGUUUGUCUCUUUCCUUAUGAUGUUAGUAUAAGACUUGGUGUUAUGUAAGACUUGUUUGACUAAUUAGUUAAUGUAAUAUUAUUUGUUGAUGAUUUAUAAAAUAGAAAAGUUAUAUAUAUGUCCAAUUAAGUAAAUUUUAUAAAAUUGGAUUCCAAUAUAAAAUUUAUUUUAUAAAAUAAAUUAAUUUAUAUAACGAAAAUAUGUUACGACAGUAUAUAAAACAGCACUAAACGUGUGUAAUAACAAAGUAUAUUAUAGCAUUCGACUAAUGCUAUUAUACGAAAAUGCUAUCGUAAGUGGGGGUCUACCGUAGGGUGCUAAAAACGCUAUCGUAUGUGGGGAUCUACCAUAACAGGGGCAUAAGACAGCGUUUAUGAAAACGCUAUUGAUGACAUAUAAUAGCUCUUCUCUCUUGCUAAUAAUGUACAUAUUUCUUGUAGUGAAG